UACGUAGGGUGCAAGCGUUAAUCGGAAUUACUGGGCGUAAAGCGUGCGCAGGCGGUUUUGUAAGUCUGUCGUGAAAGCCCCGGGCUCAACCUGGGAAUUGCGAUGGAGACUGCAAGGCUUGAAUCUGGCAGAGGGGGGUAGAAUUCCACGUGUAGCAGUGAAAUGCGUAGAGAUGCGGCGGAACACCGAUGGCGAAGGCAGCCCCCUGGGCUGAGAUUGACGCUCAGGCACGAAAGCGUGGGGAGCAAACAGG
rnacentral:rRNA from 1 species